AUCAUUUUGGUAGCACAUACACUAAAAACUGGAAUGAUGCAGAGAAGAUUAGCAUUGGCCUUGUGCAAGAAUGACACACAAACUCAUGAAGCAGUCUAUUUUUUU